UACGGAGGGUGCGAGCGUUGUCCGGAAUCACUGGGCGUAAAGGGCGCGUAGGCGGCGCGAGUAGUCAACGGUGAAAGCCCGGGGCUCAACCCCGGGUCGGCCGUCGAUACUCUCGUGCUUGAGCACUGUAGAGGCAGGUGGAAUUCCGGGUGUAGCGGUGAAAUGCGUAGAGAUCAUGAGGAAGACCAGUGGCGAAGGCGGGUCUCUGGACAGUUCCUGACACUGAGGCACGAAGGCCAGGGGAGCAAACGGG
rnacentral:rRNA from 1 species